rnacentral:rRNA from 1 species
GGACAACCCGAGAGAUCGGGCGUUCCCCUUCGGGGGGACAGGGUGACAGGUGGUGCAUGGUUGUCGUCAGCUCGUGUCGUGAGAUGUUGGGUUAAGUCCCGCAACGAGCGCAACCCUCGACCUUAGUUGCCAGCAUUCAGUUGGGCACUCUAAGGUGACUGCCGGCUAAAAGUCGGAGGAAGGUGGGGAUGACGUCAAAUCAUCAUGCCCCUUAUGACCUGGGCUACACACGUGCUACAAUGGGCGGUACAAAGGGUCGCGAACCCGCGAGGGGGAGCCAAUCCCAAAAAGCCGCUCUCAGUUCGGAUUGCAGGCUGCAACUCGCCUGCAUGAAGCCGGAAUCGCUAGUAAUCGCGGAUCAGCAUGCCGCGGUGAAUACGUUCCCGGGCCUU